rnacentral:rRNA from 1 species
UGCGUAGGCGGCGCGGAAAGUUGGGUGUGAAAUCCCUCGGCUCAACCGAGGAACUGCGCCCAAAACUACCGUGCUCGAGGGAGAUAGAGGUGAGCGGAACUUAGGGUGGAGCGGUGAAAUGCGUUGAUAUCCUAAGGAACACCGGUGGCGAAAGCGGCUCACUGGAUCUCUUCUGACGCUGAGGCACGAAAGCUAGGGUAGCGAACGGGAUUAGAUACCCCGGUAGUCCUAGCCGUAAACGAUGAGCACUGGAUUGGAGGGUCCUCCAUAGCCUUCCAGUCGCAACGAAAGCGUUAAGUGCUCCGCCUGGGGAGUAUGGUCGCAAGGCUGAA